GAAGUCUAUACGUGCUUUAAAGUGUUCCAGUUCGGAUCGCGUAGCUUUUAAUUGGUUUUGAUAAUACCCACUACACUCGUGUCUUGAGACAUCUAAGCUAGUACAUACGUCGUCGGUAGGAUGCAAAUGUGAAGAAAAAAAGCCUCAAGGUUACAUUUACAUAGCCCUUAUCUACAUGCUUAUCAGCCCACUUUGCCCCUUUGCCUAUCCCAUCAUGAUCGUUGAUCUAUCCACCAUGAAAAUCCUCCGGAGUGCUCCGUACGUAUCAGGAUGAAACAAACUUGAGGGGAGCCAGGGGACAUGGGGAGGAAGGAUUUAUGGGUUGCAGGUGGGCGGAAGUAUAUCUGACAGAUGUAGUGUGGAAACAUAGACAAUCUCGAAGGAUCGAUAAGUAUACUACACAGUAUUUUGGAUCGGGGGAUUCGGUGACGGUUGGACUGAGAAAAGUGCCGGCAGGAUUUUAACGGUAUUGCAUUUUAGUUCCAGCCACAGGGAAAGGUGUUCUAUCGAUGGAUCUGGAAGGAUUUUGAUUCUUGAAGAAGUGACAGAGAGCAUGUUCAUCACUUGCGACUGUUCGACGUGAUAAUACUGUGAUAAUGGAUCCUGCAUGAAUGAUAUUCAGAUCUCUAGGGUCCUUACUCACCGAGAUCUUUCAUGUAAAUGAGUGUGGUUAUGCAUUGAUUGCAUGCUCAAUCUACCUCAAACCCGUAUUUUAGACGUCAUCUGGUAAUUCGAUGACAUCAAUUUCCUGGCAAAGAGUCUAUGCAAAUAUCUAGACACUUGCAGUGACCAUUACUUUCUCUUCUUCCAGCAACCUUCGAAGCCUCAUGUGCAUCCGUAUAACAGCCCAAUGGUAAUCUUAUUUUGCAUACAUGACGUCCAACAGCAUCUGUCUCGAGUUCAUGAAGUUAAAUUGUCAGUUCGUCUCGAUUGGAAGUGAGGUACAGAUAUCAUUCCAAAUGAUCAAUAGACUGGAACGAUGAGGUCAAGCAUCCUCAAGCCUUGGAACAGUCUUGACACCAUCCAUAAAUGCUAUGCGGAGACCCUUUGAAUCUUUCGAUGAGCUCAGCAAUGAGUGCCGGGCGGCAGGUCUUGCAGCGAGGCGUAUUCAAUUUUUGGAAAAAGUUGAUCCACUACGUGUAGUGAGCUCUC
rnacentral:lncRNA from 1 species